AGCGAACGCUGGCGGCAGGCCUAACACAUGCAAGUCGAACGGAUCCUUCGGGAUUAGUGGCGGACGGGUGAGUAACACGUGGGAACGUGCCCUUUGGUUCGGAACAACUCAGGGAAACUUGAGCUAAUACCGGAUGUGCCCUUCGGGGGAAAGAUUUAUCGCCAUUGGAGCGGCCCGCGUCUGAUUAGCUAGUUGGUGAGGUAACGGCCCACCAAGGCGACGAUCAGUAGCUGGUCUGAGAGGAUGAUCAGCCACACUGGGACUGAGACACGGCCCAGACUCCUACGGGAGGCUGCAGUGGGGAAUCUUGCGCAAUGGGCGAAAGCCUGACGCAGCCAUGCCGCGUGAAUGAUGAAGGUCUUAGGAUUGUAAAAUUCUUUCAGCGGGGACGAUAAUGACGGUACCCGCAGAAGAAGCUCCGGCUAACUUCGUG
rnacentral:rRNA from 1 species